CUGAUAUCGGCAGGGACGGAUGAUGAGAGUCAGAUAGGUUUCGCAUAUUUGGCUGAACUCCUGUGAUGUCACUUCCUCUUGGCUGUCUGACCAAUCCCUGAGCUGAACUUUUUCUCUCACACAAACAUGUCUGUCUCUGUGAUUGACAUUUUCCUUUUCUUAUUGUUUACAAAGGGACAUCAGCUGAUUCCUGAAGCGCUGAGAGGAUGAACUGAGGAGAAUGCAAAGGUGAGACAUGCGCUAGGGGUGCGCAAUUCCUCCGGCGACUGCGCAAAUUCCUCGGGCGACUGCGCUCUACUACAUCAAUCAAUUCUACACCUUUUACUGAUUUAACCAUAAAGACAUCGCAGACUUGAUAUCGGCAGGGACGGAUGAUGAGAGUCAGAUAGGUUUCGCAUAUUUGGCUGAACUCCUGUGAUGUCACUUUCUCUUGGCUGUCUGACCAAUCCCUGAGUUGAACUUUUUCUCUCACACAAACAUGUCUGUCUCUGUGAUUGACAUUUUCCUUUUCUUAUUGUUUACAAAGGGACAUCAGCUGAUUCCUGAAGCGCUGAGAGGAUGAACUGAGGAGAAUGCAAAGGGACAUCAGCUGAUUCCUGAAGCGCUGAGAGGAUGAACUGAGGAGAAUGCAAAGAUCAAUUCGCAGGAGGAGGAGUCAAAUGAAGACCUAGUUGAAAUUCUUCCACACAUUGUUAUUGUUAUGCAUAGUUCAACCACCAUGAUUUUUAUGAUAUUCAACUUUGAGAAUAAAAAAAAGUUUCUUUAUCACAUUGUACUUUAUUGAUGUCCGUCUUAAUGCCACACACUGCUGGAUAAAUUGAAGUCUGUGCUACAAAGAAAAGCAAAUCAGUUUUAACAUGCUCUAAAUACAGUAACCACAAAUCAUUCCUGCAUGCAAGCAUCAUUACUGAUCAUUGACCAUCUUGCUAACAGUUUGAUUAGUUUGUUGUGUAGAAAUACCCCCCCUCCCUCCCCGCCUCCACACACAAGACAUGGUGACAUAGGACAUCCCGCUUUGCCGUCACUCGUACGGUUACAUAAAGGCCAACUUGCUCCAUUUUUAACGGAAGUCUUUUGAGCGGCUAGUCCUGACCCACCUGAAGUCCCUCACCCCCCCUCCUGGACCCCCUGCAGUUCGCCUACAGAGCACACAGGUCUGUGGACGAUGCUGUCAACAUGGCCCUCCACUACAUCCUCCAGCUUCUGGACUCCCCAGGAACCUACGCCAGGAUCCUGUUUGUGGACUUCAGCUCUGCCUUCAACACCAUCAUCCCGUCUCUGCUGCAGGACAAACUCUCCCAGCUGCACCGCCCGACUCCACCUGCAAGUGGAUCACAGACUUCCUGUCUGACAGGAAGCAGCACGUGAAGCUGGGGAAACAUGUCUCAGCCUCUCGGACCAUCAGCACCGGUUCCCCCCAAGGCUGCGUUCUUUCCCCUCUGCUCUUCUCCCUGUACACCAACAGCUGCACCUCCAGUCACCAGUCCGUCAAGCUCCUGAAGUUUGCGGAUGACACCACCCUCAUUGGACUGAUCUCUGGUGGGGACGAGUCCGCCUACAGGUGGAGUCUGACCAUCUGGUGUCGUGGUGCAGCCAGAACAACCUGGAGCUCAACGCUCUAAAGACAGUGGAGAUGGUUGUGGAUUUCCAGAGGAACAGAGCCACACCCUCCCCCAUCACCCUGUGUGACUCCCCCGUCACUAUUGUGGAUUCCUUCCGUUUCCUGGGCUCCAUCAUCACCCAGGACCUCAAGUGGGAGCUGAACAUCAGCUCCAUCACCAAGAAGGCUCAGCAGAGGUUGUUCUUCCUGAGGCAGCUGAAGAAACUCAACCUGCCAAAGACGAUGAUGGUCCAUUUCUACACGGCCAUCAUGGAGUCCGUCCUCUGCUCCUCCAUCAGC
ensembl:lncRNA